rnacentral:lncRNA from 1 species
CACAUCUUGUCAGCUGGCACUGGCUCGUAGCGCUUCCGGCAUUUCCGGCACCGGGAUACCUGGUGGUGGUGGGCAGGAAGGUACAGAGAGGGGACCAAGGAUUGUCAGAGGUGUCUGAGGUUGGGGUCAGGGCUAGCAGUGUGCUGCAGCGGCUGGCCUCAGCUUGAGCAACCCAACUCAAUCAGUGACUUCACGUGGGUAGCCUGAUAUUGACCAUGGUGGGAAUAUUUACACCACAGAAAUUGGCAAACACUACACAUCUUGGCUUCCUGCCUCUUUUGCAAGAACUAGUUAAGCAUUGACCAGAAGUGAACUACUAGUCAGGAGGUUCAGAAGCCAGAUUUGGGGCUGUGUUUUUGAGGUCAGAUUUGGUUUCUUUUCUUUCUUUCUUUUUUUUUUUAGAGACAGAGUCUUGCUCUGUCACCCAGGCUGGAAUGCAGUGUUGUGAUCAUGGCUUACUGCAGCCUCGACCUCCCAGGCUCAAACGAUCCUCCCACCUCAGCCUCCUGAGUAGUUGGGACCACAGGCACACACCACCACUCCCAGCUAAUUAAAAAAAUUUUUUUUUGCCAGGCACAGUGGCUCAUGCCUGUAAUCCCAGCACUUUGGGAGGCUGAGGUGGUAGAUUGCUUGAGCCCAGGAGUUUGAGACCAGCUUGGGCAACAUGGCAAAACCCCAUCUCCACACACACACACAAAAUACAAAAAUUAGCCAAGUGUGGUGGCGCAGGCCUGUAGUCCCAGCUGCUUGGGAGGUUGAGGUGGGAGGAUCACCUGAGGCCAGGAGGUGGAGGCUGCAGUGAGCUAUGAUCCCGCCACUGCACUCCAGCCUGGGUGACAGGGCGAGACCCCCUGUCUUCAAAACACAUUUUUUUUUGGAGACAGGGUCUCACCCUGUCACCCAGGCUGGUCUCAAACUCCUAAAUUCAAGCGAUCCUCCCUACUUAGCCUCCCAAAACACUGAGAUUGCAGCCAUGAGCCACUGCGCCUGGCCAGGUUUGAUUUCUGUAGUAGCUGUUCAAUUGUGGGUCAAGGGUCAGGUUCUGGGGUAAGGAGGUAUUGGGCUUCUCACAUUUAAGGUCAGAAGUCCAGUCCUGGGUCAGGGGUUGGGAUCAGAGAUCAAGGCUGAGCUCUGAGUUUGGAGGUCAGGGAUUGGACUCUCAGUGAUUGAAAUCCUUAGGUCAGAGGUACAGUCACUGAGGAUAGGAGUCAGGAGUGGAGUUCGGGACAGUCAAAGUCGAGGUUAAGUUUUAGGUCAUCACCUCCUUCCGCUGGGGCACGCGGCGCCACCAGACGUGGUCGCAGGAGGAGCAGGCAAACUGCCGGUCCACAGCAGGGAUAAGGUCGUCCUGGGCACGUUGAAACAUGCGUAGGUUGGCUUCUGUCAGUGGCAGGAGGGAGGUCGCCACUGCCUGUGGAAUGGGGCAGGUGGGGAUGAGGUGGGGGGGUGUCACCCCUUCUGCACCAACAUAAGCAUCAGCCCUCCUCUCCCUACAGACGAGUCCUCUUCCUGCCCCAGUGAAUAUCUCCCCUCCUGCCCUAAUGGACAUCCUUCUGUGCCUGCAGAUGUCCCCCUCCCAACUCCCCCAUCCCAAGCCCUAGCCACCAACUCACCUGAAUGUCCCGGUCCUGCUUCAUAUCUUCUGGUGGAUCCUGGGUGGAGAUAGCAGGGGCAGAAACUGGGGAUGGGGCUCAGGCCUCUUUCCACCCGUUUGCUGGGGGAGGCCCCCGGCCGCAAUGAGUAGGGUGCCCCUAACUCGCCAGAAGCUCACAGAGCACCACUCACUUAUUGAGAGCCAGGUGUGUGGCCUCAGUUGUCCUCAUAGCAGCCCUGAGAGGUGGGCACACCUGUUACCUUAUUGCUCAGAUGGGGAAACUGAGGCUUAGGGGAGGGCUUGCCUGAGUGAGGCUAGCCUGACCCCCAUACUCACUUCCUGCCUGCAAAUGCCACAUGCUUGUUGAUGUUGUGACAUAUCGCCCCUUUGAGGCCACGUUGUGCUCGGCUAAGUGGGAGAGAGAUGUGGGUUCAAAUCCCAGCUGUAUCACUUCCAGCUGUGGGGACUUGGGCAAGCCACUCCCUGCCCCCUGGGUUCCCACUGACAGGCAUGUUAGAGCCCAGGCUCUGACUCCAGGUGGCCAGGGUUCAAAUCGCAGCUGCCCCUGCUUGCUGGCAAGUGACUUCGGCCUCAGUUUCUUUGUCUGUGAAAUGGGGAUAAAUAAUAGGACCUGUCUCCUGGGGUCACUGCAGUGAUGAAAUAAAUAAAUUCCUGGAAUCUUGCCAUGUGGGAAGUACUCAAUGAAUGCUACUCUCUGCUAAUAUUAUUAUUAUUAUUAUUAUUAUUAUUAUUAUUAUUAUAUUUUUGAGACGGAGUUUCGCUCUUGUCUCCCAGGCUAGAGUGCAAUGGCACAAUCUUGGCUGACUGCAACCUCUGCCUCCCAGGUUCAAGUGAUUCUUCUGCCUUAGCCUGCCAAGUAGCUGGGAUUACAAGCAUGCACUGCCACGCCCAGCUAAUUUUUUGUAUUUUUAAUAGAGAAGGGGUUUCACCGUGUUGGCCAGGCUAAUCUCGAACUCCUGACCUCAAGUGAUCUGCCCGCCUCAACCUCCCAAAGUGCUGGAAUUACAGGCGUGAGCCACCACACCUGGCCCCUCUGCUAUCAUUUUUAUCAUACUUUUAUAUGUAUAAAUGUAGACUAUGAUACAUGUUUUGUUAUACUCUGGUUUUGUUUGUUUUUGUUUGUUUGAGACGGAGAAUCGCUCUGUUGCCCAGGCUGGAGUGCAGUGGUGCGAUCUCGGCUCACUGCAAGCUCCGCCUCCCGGGUUCACGCCAUUCUCCUGCCUCAGCCUCCUGAGUAGCUGGGACUACAGGGGCCUGCCAGCACAACUGGCUAAUUUUUUUUUUCGUAUUUUUAGUAUAGAUGGGGUUUCACCAUGUUAGCCAGGAUGGUCUCGAUCUCCUGACCUCAUGAUCCGCCCGCCUUGGCCUCCCAAAGUGCUGGGAUUACAGGCGUGAGCCACCGCGCCCGGCAUUUUUUUUUUUUUUUUUUUUUUGAGACAGAGUUUCGCUCUUGUUGCCCAGGCUGGAGUGCAAUGGUGUGAUCUCAGCUCACUGCAACCUCCGC